AGAUGAGCACUGGGCGUAAAGCGUGCGCAGGCGGUUCGGAAAGAAAGAUGUGAAAUCCCAGAGCUUAACUUUGGAACUGCAUUUUUAACUACCGGGCUAGAGUGUGUCAGAGGGAGGUGGAAUUCCGCGUGUAGCAGUGAAAUGCGUAGAUAUGCGGAGGAACACCGAUGGCGAAGGCAGCCUCCUGGGAUAACACUGACGCUCAUGCACGAAAGCGUGGGGAGCAAACAGGAUUAGAUACCCUGGUAGUCCACGCCCUAAACGAUGUCAACUAGCUGUUGGGGCCUUCGGGCCUUAGUAGCGCAGCUAACGCGUGAAGUUGACCGCCUGGGGAGUACGGUCGCAAGAUUAAAACUUAAAAAUUAGACGG
rnacentral:rRNA from 1 species